rnacentral:lncRNA from 1 species
GGGGAAUUAUAAAGCUUGACGCACAGAACAAUAGAUUUCUCUUUUAUAUAAUCGAUUAUCUAUUAUCAAUAAUCGAUUGUCUUGACAUUAUUUGUGUUAUUAUUUCUGAAAUUGCAGAUUUAACAAAUAAAUAAGUUUUUUUUAAUUAUUCUAUAUUUUUUUGCUAAUGGCAAAGGGGGAAGAUAACGGGUAUGCACUCUCAAUACUUAUCGGCAUAAA